GAUGAACGCUGGCGGCGUGCCUAAUACAUGCCAGUCGAGCGAACAGACGAGGAGCUUGCUCCUCUGACGUUAGCGGCGGACGGGUGAGUAACACGUGGAUAACCUACCUAUAAGACUGGGAUAACUUCGGGAAACCGGAGCUAAUACCGGAUAAUAUAUUGAACCGCAUGGUUCAAUAGUGAAAGACGGUUUUGCUGUCACUUAUAGAUGGAUCCGCGCCGCAUUAGCUAGUUGGUAAGGUAACGGCUUACCAAGGCAACGAUGCGUAGCCGACCUGAGAGGGUGAUCGGCCACACUGGAACUGCGACACGGUCCAGACUCCUACGGGAGGCAGCAGUAGGGAAUCUUCCGCAAUGGGCGAAAGCUUGACGGAGCAACGCCGCGUGAGUGAUGAAGGUCUUCGGAUCGUAAAACUCUGUUAUUAGGGAAGAACAAAUGUGUAAGUAACUAUGCACGUCUUGACGGUACCUAAUCAGAAAGCCACGGCUAACUACGUG
rnacentral:rRNA from 1 species